CAUGCAUGUAAUGCAUUAUAUUUUCUCAAGGUAACAUAUAUAAAACAUAAUAUAUAAACAUUAUACAUUAUAUUUUAAUGCAUUAUAACAAUUAUUAGUUAAAUUAUAAAAUGCAUUAUAAGGUGAAUUAAGGCAUAAUUAAUGUAUUAUAUCUUAUACAUUUUUGGUCACACUCUAUUUUAAGGUCCAAUUCUUGCUAUUAACAAACCACUAACUAUGACUUUUGCCUCAAUAAACUCCUAACUUCCUGCUUAGCACCUUUCACAGCCAAGAAGGAGUCACAAAGUGCUUUAUAGUAAAACAUAAAAUCAAAACAGAUAAAAUACCAAUGCAGAAUAUGUUCUUUAUAAGUACUGGUAAACAUCAAUGUGUUAAUAGGCAUGCUAAUAAGCAACUAAUUAAUAGUGAGAACUGGUACCGAUACUAAAGUGAUAUUGAGUUUUCUCCACUGGAAUGUAAGUGAAUGUAACUGUCCCUUUAAAAAGCUUAGAUAAUGAUUAAUGCACACAUGUGGCAUUCAAAAGAAAACUCAAUUUUAUGCACAACCUCAGAAGCACAAAAAGUUAUGGCAAUUGACCUUUAGUAGCCCGUGUGCUUAUAUGCACACUUACAGAUAACCUGAUAAAAAGACAUCAUCUCGUUAAGCCUAAAAACGCCCUUGGUGAACAAAAUCAACAGGAAGUCACCCAUGUGCAUCCACUUCCACAUCUCUUCCUCCCCAGAGUUUAUAAGCCUGGAGCAAAAUUUAAUUUCCACCUCAUAAGUCUACCAUAAUGUGAUACCGCUUCCACUAAAUUACUCGGAUAACCUUAAUCAGCACAGAGGUUAAAGACCUGAACCGUAGAAAUGGUUUCAACUCGGUGUAGUCGGCACGAUCAUAGCUCUCUUCCCUCAGGCACAAACACAGACACCUCCGUUGCCUUAGCCAGCCCUGUUUUAUUGGGCGUCUUCCAGGCCACCCGGGGGAAUGUUAAGAGAGGACAGAGGCAGAAUGAUCCCCUUACCGGAUGCCUGUCAUGGCCCCAGGUUUUUUUUUUACCCCCUUCUCCUCCACAAUCGGAGUCCUUUCCAGGCCUCAAUAGAUCUUUGUUAAGGCGCCCAAUGAGGACGUAUCAGAUUUCCCUGGCCUCUUGGCAGCCUGUGCGCUGGUUUGGGAUACUUGGGCUUUCAGUUCUUAAAGACAGCUUUUCAAAAGGCCUUGUUUUUCUUCUUGAAGGAUGGAAACAGGUGGAUCAGUGCAGCCCAUCUUGAAAGCUGCUCUGCUUUGCUCGUGGAAUUCGCCCUGGUUCCCCAUCAUUAACUUGUGCUAGCUCUGGAGAGCACAUUCUCAAAGGUCUCCCUCUCUCUCUCUCUCUCCUCCUCCUCCUCUCCUCUCCUCCAGUCCUUCUCGUGUCCCUGUUGGAUUUGAAGAGCUGUCCAUACGCUCCCUCAUUCAUGACUUGUUUGGUGCGGCUUGUAUGGUUCACAGGAAACUGCUAAAUCCAAAGCCAAUACUUCAUGUCCCAGGAGGCUACCGUCGGACCCUUAGGGCAGAGGCACGCAAAGACUACUGGGAUUUUGGAAGCUCAGAAAAAGAGAUUUGUCCCCCCUUCCCUUCCCUUUGGGGCAGACGCACACAUGGGACUCUCAGGGAUUUGGAAAAAGAGAUUUGCCCUGUGGUCCUGCUAACGACAGUCACAUAUGUGCAGGAAAGGAGAGAUUAACCUCUGCAUUUCCACUUUGGUUUGAAGAAACAAUCAUAAAUAGACUAAGAAAAGAGCUUAUAUACUACAAAAUUAGAGUUUCACAUCUAAAAAUCGAAUUCAUGAUGUAUUAACUAUUCAUAAAGAUCAUGUGCUCUGAGGGUAUAUUUAAGAUUCAAGAGUUUUAUUCAUCACCUACACAGUUAUACAGAGAAUAUAUAACCAGUGAAAUGUAAGUCAUAUCCACUCCAUUGACAGUGCAAUUAUUAAAGAAUACAAACACAAAAUAAAAUUAUAUAUAAAUAUAGGUAUGGAAAACAUAAAAAUAAAGAAUUAAAAAAUAUCAAAUAUAUUGUGAUUAAUGUUUUAACUAUUCAGUAAUGAGAUAGAUAGAUGAUAGAUAGAUGAUAGAUAGAUAGAUAGAUAGAUAGAUAGAUAGAUAGAUAGAUAGAUAGAUAGAUAGAUAGAUAGAUAGAUAGAUAGAUAGAUA
ensembl:lncRNA